GACGGAGGAUGCAAGUGUUAUCCGGAAUCACUGGGCGUAAAGCGUCUGUAGGUGGUCAAAUAAGUCAACUGUUAAAUCUUGAGGCUCAACCUCAAAACCGCAGUCGAAACUAUUAGACUAGAGUAUAGUAGGGGUAAAGGGAAUUUCCAGUGGAGCGGUGAAAUGCGUAGAGAUUGGAAAGAACACCGAUGGCGAAGGCACUUUACUGGGCUAUGACUAACACUCAGAGACGAAAGCUAGGUAGCAAAUGGG
rnacentral:rRNA from 1 species